CGGCGGCCCGCACUGUAUUUUUUCCUUCCGGGGGCGGCGGAGCCCAGGGCUAUCCCGGCCUCCGCUCAUACCUGGAGGGCCGGCAGGCGUUCAGUCCUCCAGCCGGUGAGGCUCGGGCCGGGGUGUCGGGACUGCCUGAACACGCGGGCUCUGGGAGCUUCAGGGACCAGGGAGCCACCUCGGCCGAGUUGCGUCGCAGACUACAGCUCCCAGCAUGCGCCGCCGACUACAGCUCCCAGCAUGCGCCGCCGACUACAGCUCCCAGCAUGCGCCGCCGCUCCCAGCAUGCGCCGCCGCUCCCAGCAUGCACCUUCCUCCCGAAACGCGUCUCUGCUUCCGGCGCUCUGCUGCGGAGGCCGUGGCCGCGGUUAGUUGGGAGGAACCGAGAUUUACGCUUGACGCCAGGAACCUGGACAUCCUCCGCCGUUCACAGUAGGACGCAUCACCUCAUCCUCCGCCGUUCACAGUAGGACGCAUCACCUCAUCCUCCGCCGUUCACAGUAGGACGCAUCAACUCAUCCUCCGCCGUUCACAGUAGGACGCAUCAACUCAUCCUCCGCCGUUCACAGUAGGACGCAUCAACUCCUUAGAGUUGGGGCAGCCAGCAUAAAAGGAGGCUGACCUCAGCCCGCUUCAUUCACUGCAACGUGAGGAAUGGAUUCUUUGUUGGCAAUAUUUUAGAUUGAGCUUUUUUUCUCGUUAUAAUACAUGCUUAGUAAACAGAGUGGGAAUAAAU
rnacentral:lncRNA from 1 species